GGUCCAAUGCCACUUUGUUCGUAGCUACGGGCAAUGACUGGCAAUGAACCUGUGUUUUGCAUGCCGAUAGGAACCUGUGGACGUGUUUUUAUCCUUCAUCCGUGGAGCCGAUUUCUGCGAUUACAUCU